rnacentral:rRNA from 1 species
CCUACGGGAGGCAGCAGUGGGGAAUAUUGCACAAUGGGCGGAAGCCUGAUGCAGCGACGCCGCGUGAGGGAUGAAGGCCUUCGGGUUGUAAACCUCUUUCAGCAGGGACGAAGCGUGAGUGACGGUACCUGCAGAAGAAGCACCGGCUAACUACGUAGCCAGCAGCCGCGGUAAUACGUAGGGUGCGAGCGUUAGUCCGGAAUUACUGGGCGUAAAGAGUUCGUAGGCGGUUUGUCGCGUCGUUUGUGAAAACCCGGGGCUCAACUUCGGGCUUGCAGGCGAUACGGGCAGACUUGAGUGUUUCAGGGGAGACUGGAAUUCCUGGUGUAGCGGUGAAAUGCGCAGAUAUCAGGAGGAACACCGGUGGCGAAGGCGGGUCUCUGGGAAACAACUGACGCUGAGGAACGAAAGCGUGGGUAGCAAACAGGAUUAGAUACCCUGGUAGUCCACGCCGUAAACGGUGGGCGCUAGGUGUGGGUUACCUUCCACGGGAUCUGUGCCGUAGCUAACGCAUUAAGCGCCCCGCCUGGGGAGUACGGCCGCAAGGCUAAACUCAAAGGAUUGACG